rnacentral:misc_RNA from 1 species
AAGUCGUAACAAGGUUUCCGUAGGUGAACCUGCGGAAGGAUCAUUAACGAAUUUAACAAUGGCUGAGGUUGUAGCUGGCCUUUCAAACUCGAGAGGCAUCGUGCACGCCUUGGUUGUUCCACAAUUCUUACACCCCCCUCUGUGCACUUUACAUAGAAGAUGGAUCUCGUUGGCUGGGUGAACGAACGGUCGACUCCUCACCGUGUCGACCAAGUAGUUCAACUGGUUGGGGUCUUUUUAUCUGUGGUUCAUUACACUUUAAACCAGUCAGUUUAGAAUGUGAAGUUGUCGCGUUUUAACGCAAAAACUACAUACAACUUUCAGCAACGGAUCUCUUGGCUCUC